AAAAAAAAAAAAACCCACAAACAAAGAAACAAAACCCUAAGCCUAACCUAGAGACAUAGAGGCUGAAAGGCUGAACUGAAGCAGUGAAGGGAGAGAUAGUAGCAGCAGCACGGCAGCAGAAGAGCCACCGGACUCACCCCCAACCCCGACUCACCAGAUCUGGUUGAGAUUGCUAAAAACUUGUUAUUGUUCGGUGAAACUACAACAAUACUUUUUAUAUAAAUCAGCCCCAAAGCAAGAAAAACAUCUGUAAGGCACAUUGAAAAGAAAGAGAGAUAAGCCUAAGGGCUGCUAGCAUUGUCAAGCCAGCAACCACCUUUAGGCGGCAUCCCACCACCGUAAUACCACGUACCACAAUAGUAAAGAGAAGAACCAGUUAUGAGGAGACGUAAGGAAUAUAGAGAUUGUGGCUCAUGUUGAUCCUAGAAAGACAUCUUUGGUUGAUUCUAUUUUAAACAAGCAAAGGUAAUAAUUCUUAAUGAUUUUCCUCUACAUAAUUUGCCACAUUGAUUGGUUAUAAUGAAAUUUUUCUAAGAAAAUUGAUUUUCAUCUAGGCUAUAGGGUGGCAAUCAAUCAUAGGGUUACAAAGUAUAACACAAGUAGCCAACUACAAGUUGUCUUUGUUACUCUUUGUUCAUUAUUGUGAACCCUGUAUAUUUUUCCUGUUAUUCCUUUUUUUAAUAAUAUUUUCUUUCUUACCUUAGAAAAAAAAAAAAA